UGGCGGAGAGGAGGCUCUCUGCAGACAGGGCUGGCGUUGGAGGUGUGGGUGAAAUCCUGGUCCCGGCACACAGGCACACACCGACUGGGUGGCCUCGGGCAAGUGACGUAACCUCUCUGAGCCCCCAGGUCCUCCUUUGGCCAGCGGGAUAGCGGUGGCCGCGUCACAGAGUGGCCAUGAGGAACGGCACCACGGCAGCGCAGACGAGUGGCUGGUCACCAAGGAAGCAGCCCCCCCACGCCAGCCCUCCCGCGUCUCCCGCGGGGGUCUUGCGGUCUCCCUGCGCCACUCGCUGCCCUCCCGGGCUUGCCCGUCGGGGGACAUCUGUGCCUGGCGUCACCCCGCCCCGACUCCGGCCUCCGCUGGGGGCCCCGCCAUCACCGCCGACCUGGGCCUGUUACCCCGCGGCUCAUCCUAAUCCGGUGGCCUUUCCUCCACCGUUCAAGAUGGCGCUUGGGCUCCACAACCCAGCGAACGGGGCCAAGGGCACAGGACAAAUGAGCGUGUAUCCUUCCGAGGAGGUCAGAACCCGGCACUUCCACUUCUCACCUGGCAAGCGCUCCGCACACGGCCACGGCGAGCCUCACUGACAGCGGGGAAAUCCGCAUUUCCAGGUGGCCUUGGGCCUAGCUGAAGAUCGGGCUUCUACCCCGGAGGACAAGGCGGGCGAGCGAGCACUGGGAAACGACUCUGCCGCCCCAAAAUUAACACCACCCACCAACCCUCUGUCCCACGUGCGAUGCAGCACCCACGUCCAGGGUCCACGUUUCCCUUAGAGGCGUUAGCAUGUCUGCGUGGAGCUCAAGUAAAGAAAACCCCGGAAAUGCCCCAUGGUUCACUCUUGGCAGCUUUCAAAACUGCUGGAAAAAUCCAGAGAGUUUCCAAGAAGCCGCCAGGGGAGCUCACAACCUGCCCGGAUCUCUGGCGGCCGCCUGUGAGCUUUUCUCUCCGACCCCCCCUUUGCAGGUGGACCGGAGGGUCCCUGUGUGUCCGUCCAGGCGCCCAUGGAAAGGCCCCACCUGCGAGGCCCUGGAGGCCUUCUAUCUUCAAAAAACAAAGUAAUUCACUUUUAAUGACCGCCAGUGUUUUCCUUCCCAGUUCUCUUUGAGCAGAUAAUGCGUCUGAGGCCUUCCCGACAGGGUUAAACCACCGUGACCUUCAUAAUCAGAGAACAGAAAUAAAUUAUAUUUACUCAUAAA